UUUAUGGAGAGUUUGAUCCUGGCUCAGGAUGAACGCUGGCGGCGUGCCUAAUACAUGCAAGUCGAGCGAACGGACGAGAAGCUUGCUUCUCUGAUGUUAGCGGCGGACGGGUGAGUAACACGUGGAUAACCUACCUAUAAGACUGGGAUAACUUCGGGAAACCGGAGCUAAUACCGGAUAAUAUUUUGAACCGCAUGGUUCAAAAGUAAAAGACGGUCUUGCUGUCACUUAUAGAUGGAUCCGCGCUGCAUUAGCUAGUUGGUAAGGUAACGGCUUACCAAGGCAACGAUGCAUAGCCGACCUGAGAGGGUGAUCGGCCACACUGGAACUGAGACACGGUCCAGACUCCUACGGGAGGCAGCAGUAGGGAAUCUUCCGCAAUGGGCGAAAGCCUGACGGAGCAACGCCGCGUGAGUGAUGAAGGUCUUCGGAUCGUAAAACUCUGUUAUUAGGGAAGAACAUAUGUGUAAGUAACUGUGCACAUCUUGACGGUACCUAAUCAGAAAGCCACGGCUAACUACGUGCCAGCAGCCGCGGUAAUACGUAGGUGGCAAGCGUUAUCCGGAAUUAUUGGGCGUAAAGCGCGCGUAGGCGGUUUUUUAAGUCUGAUGUGAAAGCCCACGGCUCAACCGUGGAGGGUCAUUGGAAACUGGAAAACUUGAGUGCAGAAGAGGAAAGUGGAAUUCCAUGUGUAGCGGUGAAAUGCGCAGAGAUAUGGAGGAACACCAGUGGCGAAGGCGACUUUCUGGUCUGUAACUGACGCUGAUGUGCGAAAGCGUGGGGAUCAAACAGGAUUAGAUACCCUGGUAGUCCACGCCGUAAACGAUGAGUGCUAAGUGUUAGGGGGUUUCCGCCCCUUAGUGCUGCAGCUAACGCAUUAAGCACUCCGCCUGGGGAGUACGACCGCAAGGUUGAAACUCAAAGGAAUUGACGGGGACCCGCACAAGCGGUGGAGCAUGUGGUUUAAUUCGAAGCAACGCGAAGAACCUUACCAAAUCUUGACAUCCUUUGACAACUCUAGAGAUAGAGCCUUCCCCUUCGGGGGACAAAGUGACAGGUGGUGCAUGGUUGUCGUCAGCUCGUGUCGUGAGAUAUUGGGUUAAGUCCCGCAACGAGCGCAACCCUUAAGCUUAGUUGCCAUCAUUAAGUUGGGCACUCUAAGUUGACUGCCGGUGACAAACCGGAGGAAGGUGGGGAUGACGUCAAAUCAUCAUGCCCCUUAUGAUUUGGGCUACACACGUGCUACAAUGGACAAUACAAAGGGCAGCGAAACCGCGAGGUCAAGCAAAUCCCAUAAAGUUGUUCUCAGUUCGGAUUGUAGUCUGCAACUCGACUACAUGAAGCUGGAAUCGCUAGUAAUCGUAGAUCAGCAUGCUACGGUGAAUACGUUCCCGGGUCUUGUACACACCGCCCGUCACACCACGAGAGUUUGUAACACCCGAAGCCGGUGGAGUAACCUUUUAGGAGCUAGCCGUCGAAGGUGGGACAAAUGAUUGGGGUGAAGUCGUAACAAGGUAGCCGUAUCGGAAGGUGCGGCUGGAUCACCUCCUUUCU
rnacentral:rRNA from 1 species